GCCGACCUUGAAAUACCACCCUUUAAUGUUUGAUGUUCUAACGUGGACCCGUGAUCCGGGUUGCGGACAGUGUCUGGUGGGUAGUUUGACUGGGGCGGUCUCCUCCUAAAGAGUAACGGAGGAGCACGAAGGUUGGCUAAUCCUGGUCGGACAUCAGGAGGUUAGUGCAAUGGCAUAAGCCAGCUUGACUGCGAGCGUGACGGCGCGAGCAGGUGCGAAAGCAGGUCAUAGUGAUCCGGUGGUUCUGAAUGGAAGGGCCAUCGCUCAACGGAUAAAAGGUACUCCGGGGAUAACAGGCUGAUACCGCCCAAGAGUUCAUAUCGACGGCGGUGUUUGGCACCUCGAUGUCGGCUCAUCACAUCCUGGGGCUGAAGUAGGUCCCAAGGGUAUGGCUGUUCGCCAUUUAAAGUGGUACGCGAGCUGGGUUUAGAACGUCGUGAGACAGUUCGGUCCCUAUCUGCCGUGGGCGCUGGAGAACUGAGGGGGGCUGCUCCUAGUACGAGAGGACCGGAGUGGACGCAUCACUGGUGUUCGGGUUGUCAUGCCAAUGGCACUGCCCGGUAGCUAAAUGCGGAAGAGAUAAGUGCUGAAAGCAUCUAAGCACGAAACUUGCCCCGAGAUGAGUUCUCCCUGAGACUUUAGGUCUCCUGAAGGAACGUUGAAGACGACGACGUUGAUAGGCCGGGUGUGUAAGCGCAGCGAUGCGUUGAGCUAACCGGUACUAAUGAACCGUGAGGCUUAACCUU
rnacentral:rRNA from 1 species